rnacentral:lncRNA from 1 species
ACAGAACAUAUAUACCUUUCAUUUGCUGCAUUUGCCUUAAUGAUCAGCUCACGUAUAUGUGUGUGUCAUGGUACUUCAUUAACUUCUAACUUCAUUACAAACUAGGAGAAGAGAAAGGCAUUCUACAAAAGCAGCAUCUUUACUUGAAUGUGUGACCUUCCUGCUUCCUGAUCUACCAAUUUAAAUUUUGGUUCCACUGCUUUUCCUAUGGCCUCUUAAAAGAAGUAGUGAAACACCCAGUGAUUCUACCACAGGAAAUUGGAAAUUAGUGUUUGAGCUGAAUUUACCCUCUGUGGCAGACCUUGAAUUGAGACUCCAGAUGAUGCUUUCAGAAGUACAGCACCCCCUCAAGGACAGAGCUUCCAUGUGAGGGAAAGGCAUGAGCCUCCUGUUGUCCUUCUAACCCUAUUUCAACCAACUGCAUUUUCAUGGCUGUGAGCUAGCAAGUAAUGUGCUGAGUAGUAAGUUGGAGAAGCCACAGAUCCCAUAAUGUCUGGCAGCUGUCUUCUCUUUGGCCACCUCACAGAAGAACGCCUGACAGC